UACGAGGGGGGCGAGCGUUGUUCGGAGUUACUGGGCGUAAAGGGCGCGUAGGCGGCGCAUCAAGUCAGGCGUGAAAGCCCUGGGCUCAACCCGGGAAUUGCGCUUGAGACUGGUGUGCUUGAGUACGGGAGAGGAUAGUGGAAUUCCCAGUGUAGAGGUGAAAUUCGUAGAUAUUGGGAAGAACACCAGUGGCGAAGGCGGCUAUCUGGACCGUAACUGACGCUGAGGCGCGAAAGCGUGGGGAGCGAACAGG
rnacentral:rRNA from 1 species